GAACAUACGGAAGAUCGACUGGGAGAAGGGAAACCAGGAGGGAGGGCUCUCAGGGCUCUGCCUCCCAAGAUGCCUGGGGUAGCCUGCUUGGCCUUUCUGAGUGUAGUGAACUGACAGGUGCACGUGGUCCGGGAACGUGGGGCGGAUGUCUGCGGCGGCGAGAAAAUUACUCCAUUCGGUCUGAACAAAGGCUUGGUAACCUCCCUGAAGACGGGGACCCUUGCCCCACUGCUGUGUCGCCAGUGCCUCCUUGACUGUGGUGCGCGUAUUGCGUGAAGGUGCUUCAUGUUCACUGAAUGAAUACAAGACAGAGACAGAGCACAAGUGGGGGAGGGGCAGAGAGAGAGGGAGAC